AUUGAACGCUGGCGGCAUGCCUUACACAUGCAAGUCGAACGGCAGCACGGGGGCAACCCUGGUGGCGAGUGGCGAACGGGUGAGUAACGCAUCGGAAUGUACCCAGUAGUGGGGGAUAACUAGUCGAAAGACUAGCUAAUACCGCAUACGCACUGAGGUGGAAAGCGGGGGAUCGCAAGACCUCGCGCUAUUGGAGCAGCCGAUGUCCGAUUAGGUAGUUGGUGGGGUAAAGGCCUACCAAGCCUGCGAUCGGUAACUGGUCUGAGAGGACGACCAGUCACACUGGGACUGAGACACGGCCCAGACUCCUACGGGAGGCAGCAGUGGGGAAUUUUGGACAAUGGGCGCAAGCCUGAUCCAGCAAUGCCGCGUGUGUGAAGAAGGCCUUCGGGUUGUAAGCACUUUGUCGGGAGCGAACGGCGUUGCUAAUACCAGACGCUAAUGACGGUACCCGCCGAGAAUAAGCACCGGCUAACUACGUGCCAGCAGCCGC
rnacentral:rRNA from 1 species